rnacentral:lncRNA from 1 species
ACGUAUAUUAGGUGUCGUUUAUCGCUUUUAUCUAUUUUCUAGUAUAUGAAUUAUUUCUAGUUUCACCAACUGGCGCCGUCUGUGGGAAACCUAAUGGAGCUAAGAUGUGAGGUCCUGUUUUCGAAAAAAAAGAGGAAGAUCCAAUCUGAAAAGUUUUUUGGCGAGGGCUGGGAGCUCGUGAAUUUUCUUCCGAUCUGAAUCCAAUCAGCACCAUCUCGAAAAUCCAAAACUGAAAUGUGGCAUCUCAAGUUUCUAAUAAAAACUUCCGUGUAUGAGAACAAGACUUCUCCACGGAUCUGCCUACUCACAAGCUGUCGUCCCCGCUCCUUUAAUGCCGAAAACACAGUUAAAAUCCCCCGGAAAAUUCGAUCCAGAAUCUAAAAUCUGAGAUUCGCAAAUAAAAUCCCUAAAUCAGACAAGUAUUCGAAUAUCCAAUGCCCUAAGGCCCCUAAGCCACCUCUUCAUCAGACAUCGUCAGGGAAUCGCACGCUGCCGUCGCACACGCCGCCGGCUACUCUGCUAAUGUGUCGCAGCUUCACCGGAAUGGUGUUGAUCUCUCCUGAAUCACGCCGAGGGAUUUCUCUAACUGAAUAGGGAAGAUUUUCAUUUAUUAGCAGUUUCCCUGACUCAUUUCAUGCUGGAAUCAAUUCCCCCAAUUUAAUUUGCUUACAAUCUUUGACGAUUUCGUUAUUUUUUGUACAAGGGCAUGUCAAUUCUAAAUUACUGAGAAAACGUCGGUUACUCAAGGAGAUGGCCAGGUCAAGUGGCAUAGCCGAGUGUUAAUGCACAAUAACAGACCCUCCCACAGACAAUCGCUGGUUCGAUUAUCCCUGUGUUGAAGCAUAGAUCGAUGAGGAGUGUCCAACUCCCGUGGAACCACUAUUGACACCGGAUUUUAGAGCCGCGGCGGUGGGAAUCUUGGCGAGAAAAUGAUGAGGUGACGCGUCGGCGUCCUCCAACCGGCGGGAAGAUCAAAACAGAUCAGUGUGGGGAAAAAUCAAGGCACGAUCCCACUCCGAUUUCUUUCGAUAUCCAUAAGAGAUUCACCGAUCCUCAUAGGAGAUGGCGAUUGUUGAUGGAGGAUUGUUGUGAUGCCGAGAAUCGGCUUGUUGGCCGCGAUCCAAAUGUGGUGAGAGGACGACUCUUCUCCAUUCAAGAACUUAGAAAUUUUCCAGAAGUUGGCUGUUUUUGUUUUCUAGAUCUGAACUGAUAGACGUAUUUUAAGAAUCGGUGUUUCCCCCUUUCACUGAUUCGGAUGAUGGAUUUUUGUGAGGUGACCUGAGAUUUGGGAGCAGCCGCGGUUUCAGAAAAUCUGAGAAAUGGAGAUUGUUACCAAGAAUUGAGAAAUAAUUUAGAAAUUGUUUGGAUCUGUAGAGAUUAGGAAUCGAGGACCCACUGGGACUCCCUAAAUUUCCCACAAUUUUACCAAAUCUCUUCAGCUAAUGUGAGGUAUGAGACAACACAGCACAAUUCCCCAAAAAAUUGCGGAUGAACCUGAAAUUGGGAUGAAGAAUAAUCCUCUCUUUUUUUUAAGAACCUAGAUAGGAGAAUAAAUUUGCUGUACUAGAAAUGAAGAAAAUUUUAGAAUUGGUAAUUGAAAAUUCAUCAGGAAUUGGGUAUUCUUUCAAGAAACUUUAAUCUCCCCAAUUUCCAUAAAAAUCACCCAAUAAAAUCGAUAGAUUCAUCUUGCAAAACAAAGAAACCUCACGUCUUCAACUCGAUUCUUUUCCCACAGACGGCGCAGUUGAUGUGUUCAAAUAUAAUUCCAA